ACCGUGCAAAGGUAGCGCAAUCACUUGUCCUUUAAAUGAGGACCUGUAUGAAAGGCAAGACGAGGGCUUUACUGUCUCUCCUCUCAAGUCAGUGAAAUUGAUCUGCCCGUGCAGAAGCGGACAUUCUAAUACAAGACGAGAAGACCCUUUGGAGCUUAAGACACAAGCCAACUAUGUCAAUGGAACCCUAAACUAAAUAGUACUGGCCCCAGUCUUCGGUUGGGGCGACCGCGGGGGAAAACAAAGCCCCCAUGUGGAAUGAGGAUAACCCCUUACAACCAAGAAAAACCUUUCCAAGUCACAGAACUUCUGACCAAAAGAUCCGGCCACCGCCGAUUAACGAACCAAGUUACCCAAGGGAUAACAGCGCAAUCCCCUCCAAGAGUCCCCAUCGACAAGGGGGUUUACGACCUCGAUGUUGGAUCAGGGCCUCCUAAUGG
rnacentral:rRNA from 1 species